rnacentral:rRNA from 1 species
UACAGAGGGUGCAAGCGUUGUUCGGAAUUAUUGGGCGUAAAGAGCGUGUAGGCGGCCGUACAGGUCAGCUGUGAAAACUCGAGGCUCAACCUCGAGACGUCGGUUGAAACCCGUACGGCUAGAGUCCGGAAGAGGAGAGUGGAAUUCCCGGUGUAGCGGUGAAAUGCGCAGAUAUCGGGAAGAACACCCGUGGCGAAGGCGGCUCUCUGGGACGGUACUGACGCUGAGACGCGAAGCGUGGGAGCGAACAGG